rnacentral:rRNA from 1 species
CGGAGGAUCCAAGCGUUAUCCGGAAUCAUUGGGUUUAAAGGGUCCGUAGGCGGUUUUAUAAGUCAGUGGUGAGAUCUGGUCGCUCAACGAUCAAACGGCCAUUGAUACUGUAGAACUUGAAUUACUUGGAAGUAACUAGAAUAUGUAGUGUAGCGGUGAAAUGCUUAGAGAUUACAUGGAAUACCAAUUGCGAAGGCAGGUUACUACAAGUAUAUUGACGCUGAUGGACGAAAGCGUGGGGAGCGAACAGGAUUAGAUACCCUGGUAGUCCACGCCGUAAACGAUGGAUACUAGCUGUUUGGAGCAAUCUGAGUGGCUAAGCGAAAGUGAUAAGUAUCCCACCUGGGGAGUACGCUCGCAAGAGUG